ACACGCACACGGGCAGGCAUGCAUUACAAAUCAUUUCCAGCUCAAGCAGACAUUAGAAACUUAGAGAUUUUUUGCUCUAUUACAUUGGAAAUAACUUUGUUCUAUGCAUGCUAUGAGCACUCACUCCAAAUUCUCCAUGAGACAUUGUCAUCAGAUAAAAAAGUCAUACUGCACUGUCUUUUUCUGCAGAUUCCUUACAUUAUUGGGAUCUUAUUUGCUUUAUCACAUGAAUAAGGUAUAAGAUCCCUCAGUCAAGCAAACCUUUAGAGAGCAAUGCUAAUCACUGAAACUGCUGCUUAAACCUUGUUUUCAGUGACCAUGCCAGCCCAAAGAAACCACAUCGUUUAACAAAAGCCAACCUCACAGCUAAGAAGAAAAUGCCAUACAAAUUUUAGCUGAGACUACAAUAAUGUUCACGCCAAAAGUAGAAAAUAUCGCACAUUAUUGCGCUUUAAAAUACUGUAUUAGGCCUGGCCUCUGUACUUUUUGUCACUUAGUGGACAUUCAAGAAAAAUACUUCUGGAAGAGUGAUGCUACUGGCUGUUGCAGUAGAGUCAAGAUGUGCUUACUGCAAAGAUCUGAAACUUUCCCAGAAAACCAUUUCCAAAAACAGUGAUGUUCUAUGAGAGAUUCCAUGCUGAGAGAUCAUUCCUUCCAAUUGCCUGACUGUUCCUCCAAAAACUUUGGAUACACAGUGUGAAGGCUGUAUCAGUUUUUCCUGUUCUUCAGUCUGAGAUGGCUAUUGCAGUGAAGUGGUUGUUACUUGCGGUGCCUUUUUGGAGUGUUCCAGCCAAUUAAAGGAGAUAUUGAAUGUGCUGUGUCUGCCAGGAAAGCUGGAGAAAGAUGUUACUCAUUACCUACUUGGAAACAUCUGUCCAUUUUCAGAGCGUAGCUUUUACAAGGCAUGAUAUUAAACAUUGCAUUUACACAUCCUGAAAAGAUUUACAAGGGGAACAAAACUGUUACAAACAGUGAAGGGAAUGUGGCUAGGCUUAGCAGACAGAAAUGACGGAGCAUGUGUUCGUGGAGGAACGCCCUGUGAGGCUGUGCAGGGAGGGCCUGGCUGGGCCCAGCCUGGCCAGGGGCUGCCAUCUUGCACCAUGGCUCCCUUUCUCCCUCUUUCUGACCAGACUGAGUGAGCCUGUGCAGCCUACAUGGCACAGGUUGGCAGCCCAAGGCUGCUAUUUUGUGUAUGCAAGCUUAUUUCUCCCUCAGUUUAGUGUCUGGAGCCCGAUGGGUUAACCAUUUACAACACUGGGAACUGGACCAGUUGCUAGAAGCUCUGAGAAGAGGAUGAUGAAAAGACCUGAAAUUCAGCUACCACAUUUAUCAAGUGCUCUCAGUAUUCCUUUAAUAGUUACAUACUCUGGUAUUUUCUGCUCUCUGAGUCAUGAAAAUCAAGCUAAAAUACUGACUCAGUGUCCAUCUUAUAAACCAGUGCUGGAAGAUGCUGAGGAGGAAGCAGCCAUACUAUUGCCUGAAAAACAGAUGGUAUCAUAUCAUAAUAUACUUUUGUGCAGAGAGGUGAGACAGUUCAACACAUUCCUCCCUUGCCUCUCAUCCCCUGCACAGACAUAUAGACGAGGGACACAGAUGACAUCGCUGGGCCUAAUGGCCCUUCUUCUAUUUUUAUUUCUCAGCUGGGGGUUGACUGCUUACAUUUUUAUAGUCACUUGUCCUUUUCAACUCAUACAAGAGCUUCUUUUUCUUUUUCUUCUAUUUUUUUUCUCCUCUUCUUUUUUUUUUUUUUUUUCCCCUUCCUUUUUAGCCUGGCUGUCUUUCCCCAUAAAGCUUCUCUUUUCAGAAAAUCUUUAGCAGGACUGCAUGCGUUGUCUCUGUUGAUAAUGCUGCUCUUAGCAUUGCACCACUGCGUUUGUCUAAAGGAGAUGUUUAUUAAAUGCAGAUACACAUGACUCAAGUAUAAGUUUCAUGCUAUAAUUUUGACCAUAGCAUCCUACAAUCCACAAGGGCAUGAUUUGGUAGAGAAAUUAUGACUGCUUUAUGAACUCUGGAAGUCCACAUGUGUUACUCAGUGCAUAGCUCCAAUCUCCAGAGACUCCCCACAGGUUUACACAAUGCCAGAAUCAGAUGUCUUUUUUUAGAUAUAAAUUAGGCUUUAAAACAGCGAAAGCCUUUAAUAUUAUCCACAGCAAAAAUAUUUGUAAGUCUGCAAGUCUGUACCUAAGCAGCUUUUAGAACAGUCAGUUACAGGAAGCUAUUUCUAGGACUUCUUCCUUAAUGCAUCCAAAUACUUUGUGAGAGCACAAAAUAAAUGGGAGUAAUAAUUAUAAUUUGUAAGCUAACCAUCUUACUGCAAUGUGGGUUUAUCAUGCUUUUUGAAUUACAAAUUCAAUCAUUAUUAAAAUCAGUAUUAGACGAAUUUAAACAAAAUUAGUCUUAAAAUCUCUAAUAAGUUGUUGUGAAAUGUAGGCAUUUAAUUUAGCUGAAGGUUUAAAUUAACAAAAUGACACAAAUAAGUCAAAUAUCUUGAAUGUUUGUUUUUCACUUAAAAUAAUUUCUAUUUGUAUUCAGAUCAACAUCUAUUCCAUAAAUAUGAAAUUAAAAUGGCAGCCUGCUUUGGAAUUGACUUAUGAUAAGAUGGUUACCUGGGUACCUGUAUCAGAGCAAUGGGAAAAAAAUGCUAAUUGACUUUACUGUUUACUUAUCACUCAAUGUGGAGAAUAUGGCACAGGUCUUUAUUGCAAUCUAUUGAAUCAUCUAUCAAUUUUUGGCUCCUGUAACACCAGUCAUGCUAGUAAGCAAACGCUUAUUACUACAGAGCUCCACAAGGCCCUGAAAUAAAAUCAGGCUUUGUUUGAGCUUGUAAAUAUCCACUUAACUGAGACUCUUACCUAAGUCAUAAAAUAACUCAACAUGCUGAAAUUUGUGUUUGUAGUGGGUCACAAACAUCCGUGGGGCAUAAACCCAACUUCUCCACCUGUGUUCAUACAUACAUGUCAGGGUGCAGAGAUUUUUGAGAUUAAUGGCAUAUACUCAAGAGACGGACUCAUACAGGUCAGAGGCAAGCUACCCAAUAGUUCCAUGCUCAUCUGUGUAGUCUGUUGUGUGUUUUGUAUUUUAGAUAUGCAUCUAUUUUUUCUUUUUAGGCUUGGCAUUUGCCUAAAGAAUCUAUGGUUUACCAUUAAAAGUAAAAACUCAGCACUGCAGACAUUUAAUGAAGACACGUGCUUUUUUUUUUCAGUAUUGUUGUUAGCAUUUCAGAUGGAUUCAAGUAUGUGACAAAAAGCUAGAUGACAAUAUGGUUCUUUUUUUCCAAUUUCCAUGCUGUCUGGUUAUUACCAGAGCUUGCUAUGCACCAUGGUAUCAUGUAUAGAUAUCUGCGUGCACUGAAAUUCAAUAUGAGGCCAAAAAUAUUACAAGCAGUCUGGUUCCUGUCUUCUUCACCUGUCAACAAACAGAAUCCACCCAGUAAGAAAUGUACAAUUGGGAAAGUCCUAUUUAAGAGCUCUCACUCUGCAACUCAAAGCUAGGCAGAUGUGGAGCUUGUGAGGUGUCAGUACGAACAUGUUCUAAAGAUAAGCCUGUUAUAUGUCCUCCCUGAUUUCCCAUCCCAUACAUUUGUGUCUGUGAGUCAGUAACAGAGACAUAUCAGCGUAUUCUAACUAAUGCACUAAAACAAGGAAAUGCCUGGGUAUCAUAUUAGGUGACCUAGAAAUAGCUAAACUGGACAGAAGAAGUAAAAAUGUGUGAGGGAAAGUGGUUUCUGAGAUGCUUUUUCAUGUGGUGAUCAGUAUCCAGAGUAUUCUCACCCCAAAGGACCUGAGGAUGCCUUACGGAUGACGUACUGUCUUGAAAAUCCAUGCUUCUUGUUUCCGGAGUGCAUUGAUUCUGGGAUGAGGCCUAGGAGUGGUUUCCUUCCUCAUGCUGCAUUUGCACUGACAUUUUUUUAGGAAAACAAAGUAAAUGCCUGUCUGAUCACCAAAAGGCUCUGAGUACCCUGCCAGCCUCUGUACACUUCACACAGGGCCAGUUCAGGGCCAGUGGCUCAGAGCAGCAGGAUGGCCAGGGUCCCUCUGUGCACUUGCUCACCCUGGACCCUGGCCUGUAACCAGCAAGAAAGGACAAGUGCUGUUUUCCCAAUGCAUCAUGUGAGAUCUGAAUUGCUGCUGCUUUUAACUGAGUGCAGUGUAUGAACACGUGAUGGCCCCUUUUGUAUGCAGUUUCCCCUGAGCAGCACCCCUGGGAAAUGGGAUGGGCUCUGGUGUGCUGAAUCCAGUUGAAGUUUAAAGAAUUUUAAUCACUGAUCAAAGAGAAUUAUCCCAUGUCUUAUAGAAAAGACCUUACAAAAGUAGAGAUUUUAUUUGCAAGGUGGUACACUGACCAUUAACACUAAGCCCAGAAGAUUCUGAAAUGCCUAUUCCCUGUUAAGCCAACAGGACUUUCAUACUGCAGGUCAGUGUUCCACUCAGUCAAUCAGCUGGGAGUCUGCUGAGAAAUUCUCCUGUAGUAUGCUGUACUAAAAAGAAUGUAUAUUUUUUACUGUGCAUGCUCGAGUCCCAUGCUGUAGAGUUACACUGGUCCUAUCAUUGCACACCACUGAGCAAAUAAAAUAAUUUUCCU
ensembl:lncRNA